rnacentral:rRNA from 1 species
GAUCCUAGCUUAGGAUGAACGCUAGCUACAGGCUUAACACAUGCAAGUCGAGGGGCAGCAUUGGAGUAGCAAUACUUCAGAUGGCGACCGGCGCACGGGUGAGUAACACGUAUCCAACCUGCCGCUUACUCGGGGAUAGCCUUUCGAAAGAAAGAUUAAUACCCGAUGGUAUAAAGAGUUCGCAUGUUCUCUUUAUUAAAGAAUUUCGGUAAGCGAUGGGGAUGCGUUCCAUUAGAUAGUUGGCGGGGUAACGGCCCACCAAGUCUACGAUGGAUAGGGGUUCUGAGAGGAAGGUCCCCCACAUUGGAACUGAGACACGGUCCAAACUCCUACGGGAGGCAGCAGUGAGGAAUAUUGGUCAAUGGACGAGAGUCUGAACCAGCCAAAGUAGCGUGAAGGAUGACUGCCCUAUGGGUUGUAAACUUCUUUUAUAAGGGAAUAAAGUGAGGGACGUGUCCCUUUUUGUAUGUACCUUAUGAAUAAGGAUCGGCUAACUCCGUGCCAGCCGCCGC